rnacentral:lncRNA from 1 species
GUUGUGCCGCCGUGCCGCUCCGCCUGCAAUUGCCCGCUGAAGUCGCCGUUGGAGCUGCUGCUGCUUCGCCGGGAGUCGAACUGUCGCCGCCUGGAACUGCUGCUGCUCGCCCGGAGUCCGCCGACUGCUGCUGUUCGUCGAGUCGGCGAGAGAUGGCAGAACAGCUGCUGCCGCCGACAGAGGCCAUCUCGCCGUUUGGAGCCGCCGCCAUCGGCUGCCGCUGCCUCGCCCAAAGCCGACUCCCGGAGUUGCCGUUCGUCGUAGCGAAGGUCUCGGCAGUUCGUCAUUGCCUCCCUCCCGUUUUAUCUCUCUUCGAUAGGUUUGUAGAUUUGAAAAAAAAGUUUUACAUAAAACUCAAGUUUGUGUAAAGAUUUGAUUAUGGAAUCAAAACUUGAUUUUUCUGUACUCUAGUUUAGUUAUAUAGAGGUUCUAUUUCUGAUUUCUUGCAAAGGUUUGAUG